GUGAGCCCCUAGAACCUCAUCUGAUAUAUUAUGGUAACAAGAUGGCUCUAUGAGCUGGCCAUACUCAGUAGUCAGAGUGAAACCGGCCAUGUAAAAACGACAAAGCAUAGGAUUCAGUGUAGGAGCUUGGGCCCCGUGGUAUCAGUUGACUUACAGACUGAGUUCAACCACAUGGGCAACAUAUUAAUCAAUCAUACCUAUGCAAUAAAGUCUUCAUAAAAACUAUGGACAACAAAGUUCUGACUUUGCAAAAAAGAAAGAAGAAAGUAAAUAAAUGAAAAUAGAAAGGAAGCUAGAGAAAGAGAGAAAGAAAGAAAGAAAGAGAGAGAAAGAGAGAAUGAAUGAGAGAAAGAAAGAAAGAGGAAGAGAAAGAGAGAGGAAGAAAGAAUAAAUGAGAGAGAAAAAAAGAAGAAAGAAAGAAAAAAGAAAGGAAGAGAGGAAGAAAAGAGAGAGAAAGAAUUUUUUUUCAUUUUACUUUCCCUGAAUCCUUCCCCAGAGUGUUCAGAAAUAUCAAAUAUGAGCUGAAUAAGUAGUGGAAAGACAAGGAUUCAUCCGUUCCACAGACUACAAACCUGGCCGAUAGAGGGAAUAUUUCAUUUUAGAUCAAAUGAUUCACUGUCAUCUUUGUCUGAUAUUACAACAUAGUGACCACACAACUAUCCUCAAUGGUAUUUGACUACAUGGAUUCUGUAAAAAGAUGAAGCUUAAGAACACUAUUUUUUUUCAAGUGCAAUAUACUGUAGUCAUAAGAUGAAUGGGGUCUUGUCCAUAUAUCUACAUGAAAUUUAGAUAAAGCAAGCAAUGUGAAGAACACAUAAUCUCACAUUUUGCAUGUCACACUAUAAAUUCUAUACCAGGUUGUACUUCAUUUUUGCCCUGUUUUUCUCUACCAAAGGGAAACAAAUGAGGAGAGUUCACCAUAUUUGUUUAUUUAUUUAACAUUUGAAAAUCAUAAUCACAGAGUUGAACUUCAUAUUCCUUGGUGUGCUUCAUGUAGCACACCCAAGAUAUAGGUGAGUGGUGGCUUUUUUAUAGGAGAAAUUACAAAGCUUUUUUUCCUACAUCUGAAAACUCACAUCUGAAGUUUUAAAAUGUGUACCUCUCUAAAAGAUACAAUUGCUUUGUCCUCACCUGUGUGAUGAGGUUAGAUGUUGCCAUUCUGUGAAAAGCAAAACCUCAUACCAGAUGUAUUUUGAAUGAAUCCUUGAUUCACAAUGGAAGUUGCUCACAGCUAAAAUGAAAUAUGUGUUGCCUUCUCUCUAGUUUGUUUUCUCAGAUUUCUAAACACAAAGACAAAAAAGGACAGAAAACACUUUGUAUUUGCUAUAACCUUGAGAAUCAGUCCUAAGAGUUAGAUGUCAAAUUGUUGAAUUACUUGCUCUUAUUAUCCUCUAACUAUUCCAUAUUCUUUUAAUUGACUCAGUGUUGUAAAGAUAAACGCCUUGGGUUACGCAUAACACAGAACACAGCACAACAUAAUGCAAUUUCAUAAAGGAUCUUCUGUAAUUGCUUAUCACACGUGGCUGUGCAUGACAGAUAGAAACAAUAAAAGAACAAAUGGAAAAUAUUAGGCCAAACCUUAUUACUGAGAUAAUAUUUGAAACAAUCUUGAAAUACUUUUUGAUACACAUUGUCCAUAUGUAAGCCUUGUGAAUGAUUGCAGUUUCUCAAAUCUAUCUGGUUGUAUAUUGGAAAUGGUGGGGAGCAACUAGUAAAGGGGCUAACUUUGCAAAUAAGAAUUCUGAGUGUUACAAGAAGACAAGCAACUGAUUUAAAAUAAAAGUUGGUAUUCAAGGAA
rnacentral:lncRNA from 1 species